AUUGAACGCUGGCGGAAUGCUUUACACAUGCAAGUCGAACGGUAGAGGGGGCAACCCCUCGAGAGUGGCGAACGGGUGAGUAAUAUAUCGGAACGUGCCCAGUCGUGGGGGAUAACGUAGCGAAAGUUACGCUAAUACCGCAUACGAUCUAAGGAUGAAAGCGGGGGAUCGCAAGACCUCGCGCGAUUGGAGCGGCCGAUAUCAGAUUAGGUAGUUGGUGGGGUAAAGGCUCACCAAGCCAACGAUCUGUAGCUGGUCUGAGAGGGGGACCAGCCACACUGGGACUGAGACACGGCCGAGACGCCUACGGGAGGCAGCUGUGGGGGAUUUUGGACAAUGGGUGCGAGCCUGAUCCAGCCAAUCCGCGUGCAGGACGAAGGCUUUCGGGUUGUAAACUGCUUUUGUACGCAACGAAGAUGCUCUGGUUAAUACCUGGGGCUCAUGACGGUACCGUAAGAAUAAGCACCGGCUAACUACGUGCCAGCCGCUGCGGUAA
rnacentral:rRNA from 1 species